rnacentral:tRNA from 1 species
AUUAAGGUGUCUGAAAAAAGUGGUAAACUGUAAAUUUACUUAUGAGUAAAAUUAAACUCCCUUAAUA